GUUUCUUUCUUUUCCCAUGAGAGCCCACUUCCCAGAAGGAGGCCCGUUCUCGGGACAGCGCAUCAGGUGAAAGUGGUUCCCCUCCUGAAGGGGAAGGCCAGGCUUACCCACAGAUGGCCCCGGGCUUUCGUCCAUGAUUCCCAAGUGACAAAACAGGGAAGGCGGACAAAACAAACACUCCCCUUCCCGCCAAGAAACAAUGUGAGAAAGGCAAGGUGGCUUUUGAAAACCCGCACUGGACGUAAAACUUGUCAACUUCGCAACAAAAGUUUUUGUUUGAAACCCCUCGGUAAGCUGUUGUCCAUUGAUGAAGACUUGCCUCAGGGCCAGCUAGAGCAAUUUAUUUUAACCCUGUAAUUCCCUUUUGAGCUCAUAGUUCCUGUUAAUUAACUCAUGAGCCUCAACAUUUCUGUCAUCAGGCUCAUGCUUUUGGAGGAUAAGUAUUUUCUAGCCGUCCUUUGGGGUUUUUCAAAAUAGAUUGCGUAUUUCAAAGUGAAGCAAAAGGAACUUGUAGAUAAGAAAGAUGGUAAACUGUUCUUGGUGACUUCACUCCGACUGAGGGCUCGUGGAAAUUAUACCGCCCAGUGAGAUAAUUCACGGUUUGUGCGUGCCGGAGGAAGGCACAGUUUGUCUUAACGGAUUGUUUUGGGAAUCCCAGGGUUUUUAGCAGAGAGCAUUAGACUUCUUGGUUUUAUGAUGCAAUUUUCAUUUUUAUGUUAGUUAUUUUAAAAUGGUUUCAACAAAUACUUAGAAAUUACUACUAGUUAACCAACAGCUUCAACUAUUUAUUAAAACCUGUCUCAUUCCA